UACAGAGGUCCCAAGCGUUGUUCGGAUUCACUGGGCGUAAAGGGUGCGUAGGUGGCGAGGUAAGUCGGAUGUGAAAGCUCGGAGCUCAACUCCGAAAUGGCAUUGGAAACUACCUUGCUCGAGGGUUGGAGGGGGGACUGGAAUGCUUGGUGUAGCAGUGAAAUGCGUAGAUAUCAAGCGGAACACCAGUGGCGAAGGCGAGUCCCUGGACAGCUCCUGACACUGAGGCACGAAAGCUAGGGGAGCAAACAGG
rnacentral:rRNA from 1 species